UGCGCCUGCUCCGGAGAGCUCCGCCCCAGCGAGCUCCGCCCCAGCCCCGCUAACCCUAUAAAUUUGCCUGCGGGGGGGCUACAUGUGUUCUAGAUUGAGAAUUUGGGCUUGUUCUUUCAUCAAAGAAUGAAGCUUUCCUUUGCUUCUGGACCAAACUCGAUCUUGCUCACUUGGCUCGAAGGAUACCAGGCGGGAGGGCUCUUGAUGGGGCCUGACUCAAAAGGCAGUCAGAGGAGGCUCUCAUACAAGGAAGACCUUUAGAAGACAGUGUGGGGCCACACUGGGGAAGAGCAUUCCAGGAAGAGAACCCAGCAAGGCACAGGCUCUGAGGCUAGAGCUCCUGGACGUAAUGGUUGGAGCCUGGGCUUGAGGAAGACUCACCGCUUUCCUCUCAAGGCAAGGAAGACGGGCAGGUCGAACCAGGGACAUCUUUUCCUUUGUGAGACAACGGACCUGCCCAGAAGUCUCACAGAGAUCUCCUGCUCACGUCUCGCUGGCCUGAAGUGUGUCACGUGGCCAGGUUGCAGGGGAGCCCGGGAAGGGCUCCAGCGUGGAGGUGGGUGAGGGAGAAGGGGCUGUGGUGGGGAUUAACUCAGAUAAUGCACAUACCUGGGAAACGGAGGCGU